rnacentral:rRNA from 1 species
GAUGCAACGCGAAGAACCUUACCAUCCCUUGACAUCCAGAGAAUUAUCUAGAGAUAGAUUUGUGCCUUCGGGAACUCUGUGACAGGUGCUGCAUGGCUGUCGUCAGCUCGUGUUGUGAAAUGUUGGGUUAAGCCCCGCAACGAGCGCAACCCUUGUCUUAUGUUGCCAGCAUUUGGUUGGGGACUCAUGAGAGACUGCCGGGGUCAACUCGGAGGAAGGUGGGGAUGACGUCAAGUCAUCAUGCCCCUUAUGUCCAGGGCUUCACACAUGCUACAAUGGUCGGUACAACGCGCAG